CCCCCUGAAUUUAAGCAUAUUAAUUAGGGGAGGAAAAGAAACCAAAUGGGAUUCCCUGAGUAGUGGCGAACGAAAUGGGAAAAGCUCAGCACGUAGGGUUGUAGGCUUAAAUGCUUAUUGACCGAUUCCGUGUAAAGGAGGGUCCAUUAUCUUGUGCAUAUAAGCAUCAUAUUCAAGUCCAGCUUGAAUGCGGCUCAAUAUACCCAUAGAGGGUGCCAGGCCCGUUUAUGUAUGAUGUUUGUAUAAGAGGGCUACAAACUCCUAGGAGUCAUGUUGCUUGAUAGUGCAGCAUAAAGUGGGAGGUAAAUGUUGUGAUAGAAGAAAGAGAAGGCGAAU
rnacentral:ncRNA from 1 species